AGUAUUAGUAUUCGAAAAACAAGGCUUCCUAACAAGCAAUGGAACAAUGUCUUCCAACAACCCUUGAGGGCUUUCCAUAACAUGAUCAACAUCGAUGAUCGCCGUAUUCUGUUGCUGCUGGAAUUGCUGAGGCACCGGCGAGAGGAUGUGCGAAUACGCAUAAUGGAGAUGAAGUCCUUCAUAUGUGACGAUGAGAGUUUCCGGAUCGUCUAUUGAUCUUUCGACUUGUUUCUUGGCAUUGCAACGUGGGUUGGUGCAUCUGUAAUAACUCCUGAAAAAGAUUCAACAAUAUUGUAAAUGAUGCCGGAAAUGUCGGUGGUCCUGCCAAAUUCAAUUGUGUAUAUCUACUUGUAUUCCACUUCAUUUGAUUUUAUGGUAAUCGAGUGUAGCAUUCAAUGAUCUCUUUGUGUCAGUGAGAAUUUUUUGGUGCAGAGCAACAACAACAACAACAACUGUUUUAAUUAAUUCUCUUCGCUAAGAAAUUUAAUUGAAACAGUGAGAUUAAAAGA